UGUUUAAAUAAAACAAAGCAAGUUUGUGGGAGCUGACCAUGGUGCUGACGCGCUGUGAUUUCUGCUCAGUGCUCUGAAUGUCGAAGUGAAGAAAUUCAAUGAAGCGCGGGUUUACGUGUUCUUCGCGUGAUUUAUACA
rnacentral:ncRNA from 1 species